AAGGGCAAUCGGACCCUUUCCGGUGAGGGAACCUCUCUCCAGACAUGAUCAAGAGAAACUGGCGAGGGACUGACACGAUCUAGCUUACCUUGGGUCACCGAACGGAUUUGGCAUGUGACAUAAUUAUCCCAGCGAUCACUAAAACUGUAAAUUUGGAUGCAAUUAAGAGAGAAAACUCCACACAUUUAUGGAAAUUUAAGGUAAGAAAUUACUUGUACAGAAUUAAUUUUAUUUGUAUUUAUUUAUUUAUUGUGUAUGUGCAGGGGCAGAGUCACCUGGCCUCCAGGUAAAUAAUUAUGUUAACUGGAAUUUGAAAUGAUAAGGGAUUAGGAGUAAAGAAAAUGCAGAUUAACCUCCUGUGGUCUGAUCUACCUAUAAUCCCAACACUAGGGUGGCUGAGGCAGAAGUGUCUUUAGUUCAAAACUAAACUGGGAUACAUAGCUAAUUCAAAGCUGGCCUGAGAGAUAAGGGGAACUGGAAAGAGCACGACAUUAGUUUCAGGCGCACAAUACCCAAUGAUUCUAGAAUCCUCUACUGACAAAGCAAACUGACACAAGGAAAAAUACUUAAAGCCCAAAUCCAUUUCCACAAAACCAGUCACUAAGGGUAAAUUUUGGAGAUGAUAAUUAAGGAAGUGAUGAACUAGCAGGAAUUUUCUGUACUAAGUUUGUAAGAAGAAAGUUUUUUAAAUGUCUGUGUUCCCACAAAAAAAUAUUCAUUCUUUAGAACUAAUGCUAACGAAUCAAACACUUUGAAGUAAUUUAGAAGACAGAAUCACCAGUCUGAAUCUCUGCCUGACCACAUUUGUAUCCCCCCCGCGCCCCCACCCCGUGUGUGUGUGUGUGUGUGUGUGUGUGUGUGUGUGUGUGUGUGUGUACAUGUGGAGGUCAGAAGACAGCAUUUGAGAGUUGCUUUUCUCCCUCCAUUAUGUGGGUCCCAGGACAGAAUCCAGAUUGUCAGCUUGGCAGCAAGUACCUUUACCCACUGAGCCAUGUUGCUGUCUUUCUUUAACUUUUUUCAAAAUUUAGAUUAGUAAAGGAAGCAAAUUUUCAUCUAUUAUAGGAAAAAAAUGGACUUAAGUAGAAAAAUAAGAAAUGUUGCUAGGCAUUGUGGUAUGUUCUUAUAAUCCUAGCACUGGAAAAUUCAGGGCAGAAAAAUUAAGAGUUCUGUGGCAUCUUUGCUUACACAGUGAUUUUGAGACCAACCUGCCUACAUGAAAAUAUCACAAGAAAGAAGGGAAAGAAGAAUAAGAUAUUUAGCAAGUGGCUUGGUGGGUAAAAAUGCUUGCCACCAAACCAGCAACCUGAGGUCAGUCCCCAGAACCUACCUGGUGAAGGAGAGAACUGACUCUCUGGAGUUGUUCUCUGACCUCCACACUCUUGCCCUGGCAUGCACUUCCCACCCCCACACAAACACACUUCAUAAAUGUAAAAAAUGUUAAUAAAAAUGUUUACUUGGUAGCUGCAUUAGCUUCCUGGGGCUACCAUAACAACUUCUAAUCCAGAGGGCUUAAGAAAGCAGUGGGUUGGUUUUUUACACAUGAAAGCUAGAAAUGUAAAAUCAGCCACUGGCAGAGUUUGUGCUCCCUCUAAAUGCUCUGUAAAAGAAUCCUUUUUCCCUUUUCUAGCUUCUGCUGGAUCCUUAGCAUUCUUUGGUUUGUUGACAGCAUACUUCCAUUAUCUUCCUCCAUGUUUAGAUAACCUUUGUACAUGUGGGGCCCUGUUUCAAAUCUUAGCAUAUUGUGUAUAUACAUGAUUCUAGGGACCCACCCAGGGUCUCCCACAUUUUGGGCAAGCACACUACCACUUAAUGUGUUUUGUUAUGAGGACAGGAGUCAUUAAAUUUUAGGUCGACCUUACAUCUAGAAUGAUCUCAUCUUAAUGGCAUAAUUAUAUCUACAAAGACCUUAUUUCCAAGUAAGGUGAUAUUCACUGGUAUUGUGGUUAGAACAUGAACAUAUUUCUGAGGGGUACAAUUCACUGAACUAUCCUUUACUUUAUUAUCAUCUUUAUUUUUAUUUUUGUUUGUUUGUUUGUUUUGUUUUUUCAAGACAGGGUUUCUCGGUGUAGCCCUGGCUGUCCUGGAACUCACUCUGUAGACCAGGCUGGCCUCGAACUCAGAAAUCUACCUGCCUCUGCCUCCCAAGUGUGCCUCUGCCUCCCAAGGGUUGGGAUUAAAGGCAUGUGCCACCACUGCCUCGCUCAUCUUUAUUUUUAAAUAAAUCUUUUUUGGAGGGAGGGGGUUUCAAGACAGGGUUUUUCUAUAUAGCCUGGUUAUCCUGGAACUCACUCUGUAGACCGGGCUAGCCUCAAACUCAGAAAUCCACCUGUCUCUGCCUCCUAAGUACUGGGAUUAAAGGCAUGUGCCACCACUACCUGGCUAAAUAAAUCUUAUUUGCCAUUAUUAUAUGCAUGUAUUGAUGUGUGUGCAUGAUGUGUGUACACGUGACUUUCAGAGGUCAACUUUGUGGAAUUGGUUCUCUCCUUCCCCUUUUAUGUGGGUUCCAGGAAUUGAACAUAUUAUCCUUUUAAAAGUCAUAUUUCAGGACGAUUAAGAGUAUAUACAGCAAAACUUGACAGCCUGAGUUGGAUCCUCAGAUCCACAGAGUAGGAGAGAACUGACUCCUGUAAAGUUGGCCUCUGACUUCAACACAUGUGCAAUGGUAUUGUGCUGGUAGGAGUACAUAUACAAAGGAAAUAAACUGUCAACAUAAUUAAAAUCACAUUGCAUGAACCAAGUAUAUGGCUCAGUUGGUAAACUUCUUGGUUAGAAUGGAAGAUAAUUUCUCAAAUUUAAAAGCCAUCUAAAGAGACAAUCCUAAAUUUGAACAAGGAAAGCAGAAUAUUAAUAUUAAUAUUGAUCUAAAGCAGUGGUUCUCCACCUGUGGGUUAUGACCCCUUUGGAAAGGGUCACAUAUCAGAUAUCCUAUGCAUCAGGUAUUUACAUUAGAACCUGUAACAGUAGCAAAAUUAUGGUUAUGUAGCAGCAAAAUAAUGUUAUGGUUGGGAGUCACCACAACAUCAGGCAGCAUAUUAAAGGUCACAGCAUUAGGAAGGUUGACAACUAAUAGAGAUUAUGAACUCCUGAAACUAAACAAAAGUAGUAAUGAAAACAAAUGAGAAAAAAAUGGAAGGGCACUCUCAGCAGAAAAAUAGGCAGCAUUAUUAAAUUCAACACCAUAUACACAUACAUAUAAUGAAAGUGUUAGAAAGAAGAGUGAGAGGAAAUAGUUUGAAGAUACAUUGUAACAAUGUUGGAAGCCUUUGUUUAAAAGUAAACAUCCACACAGGAAGCUCAGUGAGCUACAAAUAUAAACAUUUAGUAGUGCCCACUAACCUAUUGAAAAUCG
ensembl:processed_transcript